rnacentral:lncRNA from 1 species
CUAAGAGCAAAAAACAGAAUCAAUAAGGGAAAAAAAAAAGAAAAUUCACUUUCCAAAGCUUUAAAAUUUUCAAAUUUGUUACAUAAAUGUCAAUAGCCACUAUAAACUGAACACCUGCAUUGCUAAUCUGCAAUCUCUCUCCUGUAUAUUUGUAUUCUCUGAAACUCCGACCUUUCAUUUUAACAUGCCGUACCCGUGUUGACACGACACUCCAUGGAAUACGACAUGAAAUACAUGUCCGACACAUAUUCGUGCAAUCGGAUGCUUGAGUGAUCUAUUUACGCAUAAUUAACAAAACAUUCUUUUCUCUCAAGAUAAAGAACAUGCAUUUAAAUAAAAUUAGUUAUUUGAUUGUAUUUUGAAUGGUGCACUUGGUUGUAAUUGGCCAUCUAUUUAGACUAUAAUUAUUACUACAUGUAGUAACUUUUUAUUUUUCUAUUCUAGUUUAUUUUAUAUAACAUAACGUAUUCAAGCACCCGUAUCUAAAUUUAGAUCCAUAUUUCCAUAUUUUCUAUUUAAAAAGUUGACAAGUCAGACAUGGAGUAUAUAUCCAUUUUGGACAACCGUAUCCGAGUCUAACAUAGUUUGUAUUAUGUCCAUUGAACCGUAUCCGAGUCUAACAUAGUUUGUAUUAUGUCCAUUGAUUGUUUCUCAAUACAAUGAUUAUUGAUAUGAUUUCAAAAAAGGCUAGAAGACAGCAAAGAUCUUGCAGAAUUUCAAUAUCCACAGUGUAAAUGAGCAUGUUCCCAAAAUGAUUAGGAAACUUGUAUGCAUUGGAAAACAUCAGAUUGCCUUUUAAAUAGUUGAAGAAGAAACUGCAUGCCAUACAAACGGAAUCCUCCAUUUCAGUGCUUCAUUUGACAUCUUUUUAAAUUCUUAUGAAUAAAACAAUUCAACUGUAGAGGCCUCAGACUGCAAAAUGAGCAGAUUUCAAAUACAAAAGACACUAAUUCCAACACAAAUCCACUUGAAAGGUGCAUUAAAAAGAAAUUAUUGGACAAAAAUUAUAUAGCAAAGUACCAGCAGAAAAAACAAAAAGAAUUCAAGUGCCUUCCUCUAAAACUAUAGCUUACCUUG